GAUGAACGCUGGCGGCGUGCCUAACACAUGCAAGUCGAACGGAGUCCAGCCUUAGAGACCUUCGGGUCAAAGAGGGGAAGACUUAGUGGCGGACGGGUGAGUAACACGUGGGCAACCUGGCUCAUAGAGGGGGAUAACAGAGAGAAAUUUCUGCUAAUACCGCAUAAGCACACACUGCCGCAUGGCAGAGUGUGAAAAGAGAAUCGCUAUGAGAUGGACCCGCGUCUGAUUAGCCAGUUGGCAGGGUAAGAGCCUACCAAAGCGACGAUCAGUAGCCGAUUUGAGAGGAUGAACGGCCACAUUGGGACUGAGACACGGCCCAAACUCCUACGGGAGGCAGCAGUGGGGGAUAUUGCACAAUGGGGGGAACCCUGAUGCAGCGACGCCGCGUGAGUGAAGAAGUAUUUCGGUAUGUAAAGCUCUAUCAGCAGGGAAGAUAAUGACAGUACCUGAAUAAGAAGCCCCGGCUAACUACGUG
rnacentral:rRNA from 1 species